UACGUAGGGGGCAAGCGUUAUCCGGAUUUACUGGGUGUAAAGGGAGCGUAGGCGGCUUAGUAAGUCAGAAGUGAAAGCCCGCAGCUCAACUGCGGGACUGCCUUUGAAACUGCCAGGCUAGAGUGUCGGAGAGGUAAGUGGAAUUCCUAGUGUAGCGGUGAAAUGCGUAGAUAUUAGGAGGAACACCAGUGGCGAAGGCGACUUUCUGGACAGUAACUGACGUUGAGGCACGAAAGCGUGGGUAUCGAACAGG
rnacentral:rRNA from 1 species